UAUCUAUCCUUACAUCUCAUAUUGUCUCUCAUCUAUCUUUCUAUCUAUCCAUCCAUCCAUUCUUACAUCUCAUAUUCUCUCAUCUAUCUUUCUAUCCAUCCAUCUACCUAUCUAUCCUUACAUCUCAUAUUCUCUCAUCUAUCUAUCCAUCCAUCUACCUAUCUAUCCUUACAUCUCAUAUUGUCUCUCAUCUAUCUAUCCAUCCAUCUACCUAUCUAUCCUUACAUCUCAUAUUCUCAUCUAUCUAUCUACCUAUCCUUACAACUCAUAUCGUCUAUCUAUCCAUCUACCUAUCUAUCCUUACAUCUCAUAUUGUCUCUCAUCUAUCUAUCGAUCGAUCUAUCAAAUGACAUCCUGGGAUAAGAGACUGCCUAGGGUUAGGAAUUGUGGGAGUUGA
rnacentral:lncRNA from 11 species